rnacentral:rRNA from 1 species
AUACGUAGGGUGCAAGCGUUAAUCGGAAUUACUGGGCGUAAAGCGUGCGCAGGCGGUUUUGUAAGACAGUGGUGAAAUCCCCGGGGUCAACCUGGGAACUGCCAUUGUGACUGCAAGGCUGGAGGGCGGCAGAGGGGGAUGGAAUUCCGCGUGUAGCAGUGAAAUGCGUAGAUAUGCGGAGGAACACCGAUGGCGAAGGCAAUCCCCUGGGCCUGCACUGACGCUCAUGCACGAAAGCGUGGGGAGCAAACAGGAUUAGAUACCCUGGUAGUCCACGCCCUAAACGAUGUCAACUGGUUGUUGGGGAUUUAUUUUCUCAGUAACGAAGCUAACGCGUGAAGUUGACCGCCUGGGGAGUACGGCCGCAAGGUUAAAACUCAAAUGAAUUGACGGGG